rnacentral:rRNA from 1 species
CGAGCGUUGUCCGGAGUUACUGGGCGUAAAGCGCUUGUAGGCGGUCCACCAAGUUUGGGGUGACAGUUGCCGACUUAAUCGGCAAAGUGCCUCAAAGACUGGCGGACUUGAGGGCCACAGAGGGACAUGGAACUCCAGGUGUAGUGGUGAAAUGCGUAGAUAUCUGGAAGAACACCAAAGGCGAAGGCAGUGUCCUGGGAGGUCGCUGACGCUGAGAGGCGAAAGCCAGGGGAGCGAACGGG